CUGCAACUUUCAAAUGGCUAAAGAAGAAUUCAUCGCCAUCAUGUCGACGUUUGUUCUACAGAAAAACAGUCCCUACACGCAAAGCAUCCAACUAGCAAUAUUAAAUCUGCAAGAAAUUGGACUGGUCGACUUUUGGGACACGUGGUUCCGCCCAAUGCCUCCUCAAUGUACCGGAAAACCC